UGUGCAUCAUCGCCUGCCAAAAAAGGGAGCAAAAAGGGGACUACCUGAUGUAUGGACAUGUAUACCAGGCCAACUUGAGGGGAACAGGAGUGGGAAACCGUGCCCUGUAGCUUGUCCUUGACCAAGAAAAGAUGGAUUUGUUGAGAGGACCUGAUCUCAAAUGAGAUCAUGCACGAGAAGCGCCUCGCAGACCAUGACAGUAGUAUUCAGACCUGAUCAGCUGGUGAAGUGCUCUAUAAAGGGUUGUUUAUGAAUGCAUUCUUUGUAAGGAACAGUGUAUAACAACAAAUAUAGUGACAGGGGCUAAGCUGCUAAAUAUUGUCAGCAUGUAUGCAGUGAU